UACGUAGGGUGCAAGCGUUGUCCGGAAUUAUUGGGCGUAAAGAGCUCGUAGGCGGUUUGUCGCGUCUGCUGUGAAAAUCCAGGGCUUAACCCUGGACCUGCAGUGGGUACGGGCAGACUAGAGUGCGGUAGGGGAGAUCGGAAUUCCUGGUGUAGCGGUGAAAUGCGCAGAUAUCGGGAGGAACGCCGGUGGCGAAAGCGACUGUCUGGGGUGCUUGUGACGCUGAGGCGCGAAAGCCAGGGGAGCGAACGGG
rnacentral:rRNA from 1 species